UUUUAGUUUACAAAAAUACCUACUUUGGAUGUAGGAGACACUUUUAUUAAUGUAAUCAAAA
rnacentral:tRNA from 1 species